rnacentral:rRNA from 2 species
GGUUAAGUUAAUAAGGGCGCACGGUGGAUGCCUUGGCACUAGGAGCCGACGAAGGACGUGACAAACGACGAUAUGCCUUGGGUAGCUGUAAGUAAGCGAUGAUCCAGGGAUUUCCGAAUGGGGGAACCCAACAGGUAAUACCUGUUACCUACAUCUGUUAAGGAUGUGAGGAGGAAGACGCAGUGAACUGAAACAUCUAAGUAGCUGCAGGAAGAGAAAGCAAAAGCGAUUGCCUUAGUAGCGGCGAGCGAAACGGCAGAAGGGCAAACCGAAGAGUUUACUCUUCGGGGUUGUAGGACUGCAAUGUGGACUCAAAGAUUAUAGAAGAAUGAUUUGGGAAGAUCAGCCAAAGAGAGUAAUAGCCUCGUAUUUAAAAUAGUCUUUGUACUUAGCAGUAUCCUGAGUACGGCGGGACACGUGAAAUCCCGUCGGAAUCUGGGAGGACCAUCUCCCAACCCUAAAUACUCCCUAGUGACCGAUAGUGAACCAGUACCGUGAGGGAAAGGUGAAAAGCACCCCGGGAGGGGAGUGAAAUAGAACCUGAAACCGUGUGCCUACAACAAGUUCGAGCCCGUUAAUGGGUGAGAGCGUGCCUUUUGUAGAAUGAACCGGCGAGUUACGUUAUGAUGCGAGGUUAAGUUGAAGAGACGGAGCCGUAGGGAAACCGAGUCUGAAUAGGGCGCCUUAGUAUCAUGACGUAGACCCGAAACCAUGUGACCUACCCAUGAGCAGGUUGAAGGUGCGGUAAGACGCACUGGAGGACCGAACCAGGGCACGUUGAAAAGUGCUUGGAUGACUUGUGGGUAGCGGAGAAAUUCCAAACGAACUUGGAGAUAGCUGGUUCUCUCCGAAAUAGCUUUAGGGCUAGCGUCGACAUUAGAGAUUCUUGGAGGUAGAGCACUGUUUGGGUGAGGGGUCCAUCCCGGAUUACCAAUCUCAGAUAAACUCCGAAUGCCAAUGAAUUAUGGUCGGCAGUCAGACUGCGAGUGCUAAGAUCCGUAGUCGAAAGGGAAACAGCCCAGACCACCAGCUAAGGUCCCAAAAUAAUUGUUAAGUGGAAAAGGAUGUGGGGUUGCACAGACAACUAGGAUGUUAGCUUAGAAGCAGCUAUUCAUUCAAAGAGUGCGUAAUAGCUCACUAGUCGAGUGACCCUGCGCCGAAAAUGUACCGGGGCUAAAACAAUUUACCGAAGCUGUGGAUACCUUUAUAGGUAUGGUAGGAGAGCGUUCUAUGUGUGAUGAAGGUAUACCGUGAGGAGUGCUGGAACGCAUAGAAGUGAGAAUGCCGGUAUGAGUAGCGAAAGACAGGUGAGAAUCCUGUCCACCGUAAGACUAAGGUUUCCAGGGGAAGGCUCGUCCGCCCUGGGUUAGUCGGGACCUAAGGAGAGACCGAAAGGUGUAUCCGAUGGACAACAGGUUGAUAUUCCUGUACUAGAGUAUGUAGUGAUGGAGGGACGCAGUAGGCUAACUAAAGCAGACGAUUGGAAGAGUCUGUCUAAGCAGUGAGGUGUGAAUUGAGUCAAAUGCUUAAUUCUAUAACAUUGAGCUGUGAUGGGGAGCGAAGUUUAGUAGCGAAGUUAGUGACGUCACACUGCCAAGAAAAGCUUCUAGCGUUUAAACAUACUCUACCCGUACCGCAAACCGACACAGGUAGUCGAGGCGAGUAGCCUCAGGUGAGCGAGAGAACUCUCGUUAAGGAACUCGGCAAAAUGACCCCGUAACUUCGGGAGAAGGGGUGCUGACUUAAAGUCAGCCGCAGUGAAUAGGCCCAAGCAACUGUUUAUCAAAAACACAGCUCUCUGCUAAAUCGUAAGAUGAUGUAUAGGGGGUGACGCCUGCCCGGUGCUGGAAGGUUAAGAGGAGUGCUUAGCGUAAGCGAAGGUAUGAAUUGAAGCCCCAGUAAACGGCGGCCGUAACUAUAACGGUCCUAAGGUAGCGAAAUUCCUUGUCGGGUAAGUUCCGACCCGCACGAAAGGCGUAAUGAUUUGGGCACUGUCUCAACGAGAGACUCGGUGAAAUUUUAGUACCUGUGAAGAUGCAGGUUACCCGCGACAGGACGGAAAGACCCCAUGGAGCUUUACUGCAGUUUGAUAUUGAGUGUCUGUACCACAUGUACAGGAUAGGUAGGAGUCUAAGAGAUCGGGACGCCAGUUUCGAAGGAGACGCUGUUGGGAUACUACCCUUGUGUUAUGGCCACUCUAACCCAGAUAGGUGAUCCCUAUCGGAGACAGUGUCUGACGGGCAGUUUGACUGGGGCGGUCGCCUCCUAAAAGGUAACGGAGGCGCCCAAAGGUUCCCUCAGAAUGGUUGGAAAUCAUUCGCAGAGUGUAAAGGUAUAAGGGAGCUUGACUGCGAGAGCUACAACUCGAGCAGGGACGAAAGUCGGGCUUAGUGAUCCGGUGGUUCCGUAUGGAAGGGCCAUCGCUCAACGGAUAAAAGCUACCCUGGGGAUAACAGGCUUAUCUCCCCCAAGAGUUCACAUCGACGGGGAGGUUUGGCACCUCGAUGUCGGCUCGUCGCAUCCUGGGGCUGUAGUCGGUCCCAAGGGUUGGGCUGUUCGCCCAUUAAAGCGGCACGCGAGCUGGGUUCAGAACGUCGUGAGACAGUUCGGUCCCUAUCCGUCGCGGGCGUAGGAAAUUUGAGAGGAUCUGCUCCUAGUACGAGAGGACCAGAGUGGACUUACCGCUGGUGUACCAGUUGUCUUGCCAAAGGCAUCGCUGGGUAGCUAUGUAGGGAAGGGAUAAACGCUGAAAGCAUCUAAGUGUGAAACCCACCUCAAGAUGAGAUUUCCCAUGAUUAUAUAUCAGUAAGAGCCCUGAGAGAUGAUCAGGUAGAUAGGUUAGAAGUGGAAGUGUGGCGACACAUGUAGCGGACUAAUACUAAUAGCUCGAGGACUUAUCCAA